GUUGUUUUGCACGUUUUUCUGAAGUACGAAACCAAACAGACCAUUAGACGUGACUUGCUGUCAGUGCAGCUCGGCGCAUAAGGCACUUUACGGCCGCGGCGUUUAGCGUGGAUCAUCCGUGACAGACGCGUGUUGUUCUCGCCGGGGCCACACCGUAAACUCACCGCCAACACAACACCUACGGACGAGCAUCAGGUUAAACAACCUGGCAUGUGACCCGUGAGGCUGAAGGUUCGAAUCCCAUCGUAGCCUUCACUGUUACACCCACCAAGUAAGUCCCUCAGCCUGAUCGUCUCAUAGAAGGUGAAGCUCUGGCUAUUC